CAAUAGCGUAUAUUAAAGUUGUUGCAGUUAGAACGCUCGUAGUCGGAUUUCGGGGCGGGGCGACCGGUCUGCCGAUGGGUAUGCACUGGUCGGCGCGUCCUUCCUUCCGGAGACCGUUCCUACUCUUAACUGAGCGGGGGCGGGAGACGGAUCGUUUACUUUGAAAAAAUCAGAGUGUUUCAAGCAGGCAGCUCGCUCUUGCAUGGAUUAGCAUGGGAUAAUGAAAUAGGACUUUGGUGCUAUUUUGUUGGUUUCGAACACCGAAGUAAUGAUUAAAAGGGACAGUCAGGGGCACUCGUAUUCCGCCGAGAGAGGUGAAAUUCUCAGACCAGCGGAAGACGAACCACUGCGAAAGCAUUUGCCGGGGAUGUUUUCACUGA
rnacentral:rRNA from 1 species